GCCUUCGUGAUGUAGUGGUCAGCACGCUCGACGCGUAACCGAGAGAUCCGUGGUUCGAUUCCCGGCGAAGGUG
rnacentral:tRNA from 1 species